rnacentral:rRNA from 1 species
CCAGACUCCUACGGGAGGCAGCAGUGGGGAAUAUUGCACAAUGGGGGGAACCCUGAUGCAGCGACGCCGCGUGAGUGAAGAAGUAUUUCGGUAUGUAAAGCUCUAUCAGCAGGGAAGAUAAUGACGGUACCUGACUAAGAAGCCCCGGCUAACUACGUGCCAGCAGCCGCGGUAAUACGUAGGGGGCAAGCGUUAUCCGGAUUUACUGGGUGUAAAGGGUGCGUAGGUGGCAGGGCAAGUCAGAUGUGAAAGCCCGGGGCCCAACCCCGGUACUGCAUUUGAAACUGUCCGGCUGGAGUGCAGGAGAGGUAAGCGGAAUUCCUAGUGUAGCGGUGAAAUGCGUAGAUAUUAGGAGGAACACCAGUGGCGAAGGCGGCUUGCUGGACGACGACUGACGUUGAGGCUCGAAAGCGUGGGGAGCAAACAGGAUUAGAUACCCUUGUAC